AAACUUAGGAUUAAACUUAAACCAAGAGCCUUCAAAGCUCAAAAUAUGAGUUAAAACCUCAUAG
rnacentral:tRNA from 1 species